ACAAGUGUCUGGGUCAGCUGAAACUGUUAGUUUCAAAAACUCAAUCCUCAAAUACUAGAAGAACAGAAGAAUCAAAGAAAGCUGAAUAACUAAUGACUCCUCCAGAGGGAGAUCCACCUGCAUUAAGUCAGAGUCAGAUUGUUCCUAUUUAAAAAGGAGGAGGAGAAGAUGGCGGCGCGACACAGCUUGCGUGGCCUCUCCAGUAAAUGAUAUCUGUGAUCUGUCAAGUGGGGUGCCGUGCACAAUUCUGAUUUGAUGGAGACAGAC